rnacentral:misc_RNA from 1 species
GUUGGUGAACCAGCGGAGGGAUCAUUACCGAGUUUACAACUCCCAAACCCAAUGUGAACGUUACCAAACUGUUGCCUCGGCGGGAUCUCUGCCCCGGGUGCGUCGCAGCCCCGGACCAAGGCGCCCGCCGGAGGACCAACCUAAAACUCUUAUUGUAUACCCCCUCGCGGGUUUUUUUAUAAUCUGAGCCUUUCUCGGCGCCUCUCGUAGGCGUUUCGAAAAUGAAUCAAAACUUUCAACAACGGAUCUCUUGGUUCUG